GUUGCUGUUCCUCGUCAAUGGCCCUUCGUUCCCGCGUGAUCGGGGCAUCCCAAGGACUGGGCUAGUAGUAACUGACCAGGGCUACGGAGUAGGUAGCACUCGGGAGUUAAUAAUUUUGAAAUUCUGUUUAAAAAAUGUAUUGGAAUAAAUCGGGGGAGGCUGAGAUCUGUGGAGCAAUUGGUUUGGUGUCUGAGAUUAGAGCAUCUUUCCCCCUUCCUGUAUUAUUAAAAUGCUCCUGUCAUUUUCAAUGACACUUCAGUGCUGUGAUGUAAAUUAUUGAGCAAGGGCAGGCGAGACUGCCUUCACCUGUGCUGUAAGGGCCCAAUCCCUUCCUGCCACCCUUCCUGGCUUGGCAGCUCCUGGAGCUUGUCUGCUGCAUCCCCACUCUUGUCCCUGUGCAGUCCCUGGCUGCCCUUGCCCUGGGAAACCCUGCCUUGGGCAGGCAGGGUGUUGCUGUUGGAUUGCAUGGAGCUGCUGUCCUUGCUGCUUCACAGGGAGCCGCAGGGAUGGGACGGUCCCGUGGGAUUCUGGAGGUGUGGGUGACCUUGGAGCUACGUGGGACAACCAAUGUUUCCCUUUGGUCCUGGUUGCUGCUGCAACAGCCUUGUGUGAGUAAGGGCUGGGGUGGAUUUGGUGAAGGUGUGUGUUUGCAGCUCCUGCCCACCCUCCUCCUCCCCUUCCCCUCUCUGUCCUGGGGCAGAGCACGACCAGUGGUCUCCUGGGAAUGAAAAUGUUCAGGCUUCUUAGAGAUGCAGAGUGAAAUGUUUAUAUGAGAGACCAUGUCAGCAGCUGCAUGUUUUAUCCAAGCAAGCAAGUCCAGAAAUGUUUAUAGAAACUGGCAGCACUAAAUCGGGACAGUUGGUCACUAAUCUUUGCAAA
rnacentral:lncRNA from 1 species